UUAGGAUAGAUUUAGUGUCCUUGUCGCUAAAAGAGACAUAUUCUGGUUCCAUAUUAAAAUCGCUAUGGGACAUUUUGCAGAUACCACCAGUACAAGAGAUAAGAUAGUACUGAUACAGAGAAACCCCUAAAACCGUAGAUUAGGAAAUUAAAAGAAGAAGGAAAUGUCAAACUAUAUCAAAACUGAUUAAAAUUCAGUGAAUUUCCCCCCGUUGAUAGCGCAAAAAAGAGUGUGAUCAAUUUCGCUUGCUUCAAAGUUGUUUUUAUCAAACCAAAAGCGAACUGUACCAAACACAAAAGAACAGGAACAAUUCUAAAUCAAAAAAGAAGGACAAGAACGGGUUUUUCAAAACAAACAAGGACUAGGAUUAGAAUUAACAGGAAGAAGGACGAUGGUGUUUAGGAGAAAUUUUUGAAGAACGGAAAAAAGCUGUGACCCAGUGGCAAGAUGACUACGAUAUAAUUUGGAGAUCUGCUACCCGCAUUGAGAUUGAGUUGAAUAUAAUUUAAGCGCUAAAAGCAAUUUAGUAUGUAUAUCUGUAGAGAAUUGAACAAAUAGUAUAUUAUAUUUGAGCAUUUUUAUUAAAAA